rnacentral:rRNA from 1 species
UUUCUCCUGAAAUCGGGUGAGGCUAUCCGCUGAAUUUAAGCAUAUAAUUAAGCGGCAGAAAAGAAAAUAACCAUGAUUCCCCUAGUAACGGCGAGUGAAGC